GGAAUUUCGGAUUUUGCACAGGUGGUUGGAUGUUACACUCUGGAAAUGGAAGGAAGGUGGCAGCUCGGACCCUCAGUCAUGCGUCCUCUCAUCGGGCUGUGCUGAGAACAUCCGUGUCUCUCCGGGAUGGUCGACUCACACGGAGGGUGUCGAACUUUCACUCUGAUUACUCAGACCCUCCUCCUCCCCGUCUCCACCUCAGACAGAGCUCCACCCGAGCCUCAUCUUCAUCUUCACCACCACCAGCAUCGAGACUCUGAGGGAUCCUGUCCCAACAUCAUCAGUGCAUUUUAAUGCUUAGACAGACGUUGCAGGAGGCCUUUACCUUCGUCACCGAGCCUCACAGCACAGUCUUCACCAUCCCUUAACUAACAGGAUACAGGUCCAGUCCGAAGAGUUCAGGUUCAGGAUUAAAGAGUUUGCAGUUUUGCUGCAGCGAGGUCAAAUGAAUCAGGACUGUUAAAGGGUCUGUCCUCAGAUAGAGAUACAGCGACAGUCCAGAUGCUUUCAUAUUUGCCAGCUUGUGUGUGAACAGAAAAUGAAGUGUCAAGCUGAGCGAUGUUCUCUGAUGAAAGAAUAAAUACAUGGAGAACAUUAUGUUCUGCCACUCUGAAAUAUUUACAUAAAAUAUAACAACAGGGAUUUGCGUGCCUGUAACCUUUAUUCUAGAUUGAUGUGACUUUGAUUUUUAGCUUGAGGCCACGUAACAAAUGUACGCACCGCUCACACGGCAGGGAUUUAUGGAGACAGCCUACUAUAGACGGAAAAGUUUCUCCGACUUUCUUUUCCUCGCUUCUCUUCUUCUUCCUCUGACACAUAAAUCUCGGGAUAAAUCUGGAGGAGAAAUUUCACAAAGAAGAAGUUCUUUAAUUUCAUCAGCACUCCUGACUGACAAGUAUCAUUAUGGAUAAAAUUAUCUCGGUAAUUAUCCUGCCCAGAGGAGAUUUAUAUCCCUUUGUGAGAGCUUAGAGGAGAAGCAGGAACGUCAGGACGUGGUCUGUGCAGCAGAGUAAGUGCUUUGUUAAAAUCAGCCUUUUACUGUGCGAGAGGCUCGUUGGAGGACUUAGUGUGAGGUUCCUGCUCUGCACUGGUUAUGCUAAACACAACUAUUUGUUUUUGUGAGAGAAACUUGGUUAUGAAAUAUCAGCGUUAGCAUUAGCCUAAUUUCUACUGUUAAACAGUAUUGAGACUGUUCCACUUUUAAGGUGGAAUUGGGUCUCAUUUGACUUCACCCUGAAGUUUAGUUUUGUUGCUUUAAGCCCAGUCUGACAAUGACCGACAUCUGAAUGUUUUCCUUCGACCGGGAUUUAUUCUUCUUUUCCUUGUUUGGGAUUUCCUUGUCCUGUCGUUUUGAUUUGUUAAAAACAAAUAAAUAAACACUGAGAAUGUGUAGGACAAAUCCCAGCUGCUUGGAUUUUGACAUUUUCAUCUGUAAAAAUGUUAAAAAUGUAUUUUUUAAAGACAAAACGCGUUCAAACUGUGUAGAUUUCGGUUAAUUACAACCUUUCUAAUUAGUGGACACAACUACACAAACUCACAUAUUCAUUCACUUUGUAACACUUCUUACAGCCACGAUCCUGAGUUUUCAGUUUUGGACUUUGAAUUUCUGUUUGAUGUUCUGUGUUUGACAAACUUUGGGCAGCUUUGCAGUUUUUAAUUUGGUUUAAUUUUAUGACUUUGCUUCGGUUGUGUUCUCGUUGGUGUUUGUUAUUUCGAGUUUAUCUUAAACUGAUCGUGUGCUUUACUCCCUUUGUAUUUAUUCCCUUCGCCUGUCUUUCCUGUUCCUUAUUUUGCUGGUCUUCAUCCCGUGUGCGCUGUGUUUAGCUUUGUGAACUGUCACACUGGCGAUUCUGUUUUGAGACAAACAUGAGGCGACGUUGAUGGAACCCUGAAACUGCAGAUAAACAUGAAUUCCAUAAAAUUCUAAUUCAUGUCAGCAGUAAUGAUGUUACAGACACAUCGGUCAGAGGUCACUAAAAUUAAUAUUCAGUCAUCGUGCAGCUUUCCCGAAACAGUAUCGACUCUGUUGUUUUCUCUGGUCCCCUCCCCAGUUAGAACAGGAGUCACAUGUUUAGUUGCAUGCUGUCUCUAAAUUGGCGGUCUGAGUGGUGUCCAACAAUUACGUGGGCUUUAUAGAUAACUGGGAAACCUGGUCUUGCUGGGCGAUACAGCAUACAUCCCAAUUUGGACAGAGCUGCUCUUAUUUAAAGAAAUCUGGCCAAGUUGUAAUAAACCCCCAAAAUGUGACUAUACAGAGUUUGGACCUGGAUUUUCAGUCUUACACUCCUCUCUGCAGCUUCUCUCCUCUGUUUAUACCCCAAAACUACAUCCUCUUAGAGCGGGGUGGGCAAAAGAUCAAAGAUCUAAAACUGUGAAGUCAAAAAUACAAGUCAUAAACAGGAAAACAAUAAUUACAAUAAUUACACCAGUAUUUCACUUGAUUUUUGACACAUAGCUAAAAAAUACUGAAUAGUUGUUUCACAAAUGUAAUCAUUUAAUCAACUUCAUAAGAUGUCUUUCAGCUCACGCUUCUCAUUCAGUGAGAAAACUAGAGCGACCAGGUGACGCUGAAUCCUCCCUUAUGCUUCAAUAGGUGGAGGCUGCUGGGGGAUUCCCAUGAUGCAUUGGGUGUUUCUUCUUCACUCACUAUGUGUUAACAGACCUCUGUGCAUUGAAUCAUAUCUGUUAUUAACCUCUGUCUCUCUUCCACA